CAUGGCUCAGAACGAACGCUGGCGGCAUGCCUAACACAUGCAAGUCACGAAGGCUUCGGAGCCUUAGUGGCGCACGGGUGAGUAACACGUGGGAACCUGCCUUUCGGUUCGGAAUAACGUCUGGAAACGGACGCUAACACCGGAUACGUCCUUCGGGAGAAAGUUUACGCCGAGAGAGGGGCCCGCGUCGGAUUAGGUAGUUGGUGUGGUAACGGCGCACCAAGCCGACGAUCCGUAGCUGGUCUGAGAGGAUGAUCAGCCACACUGGGACUGAGACACGGCCCAGACUCCUACGGGAGGCAGCAGUGGGGAAUAUUGGACAAUGGGCGCAAGCCUGAUCCAGCAAUGGCCGCGUGAGUGAUGAAGGCCUUAGGGUUGUAAAGCUCUUUCGCACGCGACGAUGAUGACGGUAGCGUGAGAAGAAGCCCCGGCUAACUUCGUGCCAGCAGCCGCGGUAAUACGAAGGGGGCUAGCGUUGUUCGGAAUUACGGGCGUAAAGGGCGCGUAGGCGGCCUGUUUAGUCAGAAGUGAAAGCCCCGGGCUCAACCUGGGAAUAGCUUUUGAUACUGGCAGGCUUGAGUUCCGGAGAGGAUGGUGGAAUUCCCAGUGUAGAGGUGAAAUUCGUAGAUAUUGGGAAGAACACCGGUGGCGAAGGCGGCCAUCUGGACGGACACUGACGCUGAGGCGCGAAAGCGUG
rnacentral:rRNA from 1 species